AGGUCGUGCUGAGUCAGU
rnacentral:misc_RNA from 1 species